rnacentral:rRNA from 1 species
ACGUAGGGGGCAAGCGUUAUCCGGAAUUAUUGGGCGUAAAGAGUGCGUAGGUGGUUUUUUAAGCGUGAGGUGAAAGGCAAUAGCUUAACUAUUGUAAGCCUUGCGAACUGGAAGACUUGAGUGCAGGAGAGGAAAGUGGAAUUCCUAGUGUAGCGGUGAAAUGCGUAGAUAUUAGAAAGACCACCAAGGGCGAAGGCGACUUUCUGGACGGUAUCUGACACUGAGGCACGAAAGCGUGGGGAACAAACAG